UACAGAGGGUGCAAGCGUUAAUCGGAAUUACUGGGCGUAAAGAGCGCGCAGGCGGUCGUUCAAGUCGCGUGUGAAAGCCCCCGGCUCAACUGGGGAGGGUCACGCGAUACUGAUCGACUCGAAGGCAGGAGAGGGAAGUGGAAUUCCCGGUGUAGUGGUGAAAUGCGUAGAUAUCGGGAGGAACACCAGUGGCGAAGGCGACUUCCUGGCCUGUUCUUGACGCUGAGGCGCGAAAGCUAGGGGAGCAAACGGG
rnacentral:rRNA from 1 species